GUUGUAGUCCAGCUGCAUUCACCAAUGCACUUCAGUGUGGUUGCACAGGAGCGGAGAGGUGGAAGCGAGUAGCUGGGAGCAGUGAGACACCAAGGCAGUUCCUGAUGGUGGCAAGUGCUGGCUUAAAGCAUUCAUGAAAUUACAGCCUGGGGGCAGAGUGCCAGGCCUGCCCGGGGUCCCACAUCUCCCACUCUGAUGAUGGGGGGAACGGCAUACAUGUGGGGGAAAGGGAGACACCAAAGCUUUUGUUGUUCCAGUUACACACUGCCUCCACAUAGAUGUGCAGGUCUGCAUGUGUCCGUGCCCAUCCCCUGCCCUGUGUCAAGUGGAAAGGAUGUGAAAGAAACCCCAGCGUGGUUGUACCUUCACCUCCAGUACAUGGAAAAACAAACACAGCCAUUCUCAUGUUUGUUGAUUUAGUGCAGGGUGCUCCUUCCAUUACAAAACCAUUUCCCUGCAGGCAACAGGCUAAAACCUAUUUGCUUAUUAUUCUGCAAAAGAAAAUGAGGGUUUCAGGAUGGAUGCAGUCUUCAAGUGUCUCUUCUGUUGAUAGAGAUUGAAAGGAGAGAGCCCUCCCAGCCACCUCUCAGCAAAUGUGCUGUGCUUCCUUGUUUUGCAUAACUUUUCUUGUUUUCUAGCUCAGAAACACAUGCCACAUGUAUCUCUCUUUCUCCUUGAAAUACAAAUCGCAGUAUGGGAGCGCUUUGUGCUUGGAAGUUAAUCAUCUGCUUCAUCACAGGUAUUUAUAUAGAGAUGGCCCUGACCACUGAAAGCUGCAUCCAGAGCCAGAAUUCGCAGACCCCUCCCUCACCCCCGCAUCUAUAAUUUUCAGAGCCAAAACCCCAGACAUGAACACUUCUGACCAAGUGGGAGGUUCCCUCCUGCGCUCAGGUUGAUGGCUGCCCCAGCCUCAUUUAGGACAGUGUAAACACCAAGCUGACUUUUUGAACUGGCACAGCAAAGUUGGAGGCUGGGCGUGAGAUACAUCCUUGUUCGAAGCGAACACAUAAGAAACACAAGCCACUCCUAGCCUGUUUUUAUUUAUGAGGUGCAACCAGCAGCAGUUCCUGUUGCUGACUGUGACAAGUCUGGAUGAAAACUGAAAGAAGAGAGGCAAAGUUUAUCUAGAGCUGGCACCAGUUUUGGUACUCCGCUGAAUUGGCUAGUUCUACCGAGUCCAGAGCUAUUUGUUUGUGCCAACACCAACACCACCCCCAAAAUAAUCAAACUACUCUCAACACCUUUUUUUUGUCAGUUAAAAUCACCUCUCCACCAGCUGAUCUUUUAGAUGGCAGCUCUUCUGGCUGGUCUUUUAGGUGGCUGGUACUUUACCCUCCUCCCAAAUCCAAACCAACUGCAUUAAAAAUUUGCAUUGCUGGGGGGAGGCUACCCCAGACAAUGUCAAAGGAAAAGCAGAUCAAAAAUAGCUGCUAGUAUUGGAUACAUGGGCUGUCCUUUCAGCACAAGAAAAGCUCAGAAGAAUUCAAUCAAUCUGUUGUUGAACGGAGUCUGUGGUGGGCGACAGCUGCACGGUCCUUUGCCCUUUCCCAGCGUUUCGUAUCCGUAGCGGCAGUGAGUUCGUGGACUUGCACCUUGCUGGCCCAGCACUGACCACGUCUCAGCUCUGUGGUGCCAGGACCCCUUCCCUCUGGCUGCUCUCGGGAGAGGCAGCAGCGCACAGCACGAGCGCUUCUGUAGCACAGCACAGCCGAAGUCUGCCACAGCCAGAAACCUCUCUCCGCAGCUCUCCUGUGUGAGGUGCUUCAGACAAGCGUGGAAAUGCCUUGCAGGGCACUGGCGGUGGCCAGCCUGCUUCUAAGGGCACACACUACAGCCAGGCAGACAGAGGCAGGUGACUGCAAGUGUCACCAACAUCAAACACCCCUCAGAUGGAGGCCAGCGCUCAAAAUCCAUCCAGCUUUAAACUGGCCUGUCCAUGGUGCAAGGCAAGGCCCCUUAGCAGGAGGCCGGGGGCAGACACCUUACCCACAGCUGCUUACACAGUUGCGCGGUUUAAGAAACAAAAAUAAUCACGUAGUGAUUUUUUUCUGGCGGUAUUUUUGCUCCUAACUCGCACGGGCGUUUGAAAAGCACCUGUGCUCAUCUCUCUCCGUGAUGUCUUGCUUUCAUGUUAGUGCUUUGCCACCCAUGAGGGGGUGUGCCAGGGCAGGCAAGCCAUGCCGUGCCGGGGAACACGAGCGCCCUCACUUCUCACUGCUAGGGUGCAUGUGGGGCACCCCACGCUGACCCCCAACUGCACUCGCUCUGUCACCGAGAGGCAGAUGAGUUUGAUCCCCCACCGGGGCUCGGUGGGAGGUAAGUCCAACGUGUUUGACAGCGCCAGUACCUUGAGACCACCGCAGCAGGGGCUUCGCAGCGGUUUGGCUCCUGAGGCUGCAGCCUCUGGAUAACUUCCACCCCAAAUGUAUGUCACAUUUCCUUCCAGCAAAAGCAAAAUAUUUACACUAAGCCAAGGUCACCCGGCGGCCACUCUGCUAUCGCAAGCUGGAAGUGGCUGUGAUACUGUAAACCGAGGGGCACGAGGACAGAGGGGAUCAGCACGGGCCUCCAAAAUAAAUUAUACGGCUGGCUGGCAGCUGCUGCUGGGCUUGGUGGGCACCAGGGAGGUGGGUGCCGGGCAGGUGCUCUCAUGGCAGGACGAGGAAGGGCUGGCAGCUGCCCAGCCAGGCCAGGAGCUCAGGGAGAGCAUUGGGAUGGUGAUGGUGGAGAAGAGCUGGUGCCGGGGUUGAGGGAAGGCAGAUCUGCAGAGCACAGACAGACACGUCUGGCAUCCCCACCAGCCACCCUUCCCCACACAGCCCCAGCGUGGUCGGUAGCUGAGGCUAUGGCCACACCAACUGAACUUCUUUACCUCCCUUCAAAGAGCUGUUGGAAAUACUCCUCCUGUUCUGCAGGAGUGUUUUGGACAGAGUUAAGCCAUCCUGGAAGUUGCUGGGCUAGACUUGCCCUAUGAAAAUACACUGAAUUCACUGAUUUAAACCUAUAAGCUUGAACUACAGGACUCACAGCCCCUGUAUUCCCAGACACCCAAGAUAACGCAUGGCAAUUUCCCUUUGUAGUAGCUUGCAUACAAAAGAUCUUCCUGAGACAGAUCUUCCCACCUCCUCACACCCUGAAUCUCUCCUGUAUGCUGCCAAAACUUUCUUCUUUAUCCCACAUUGCACUGCUGAUCAGCACCCAAAACCUCUGCUGCAGGCUCCAACACAUGCCUAAGAGUUGCCAGGUAAAGUGGCUAGCAGCUCCUGGCCACCUACCCAUCAGGUGCCACCGACCUCUCCUCAGCUCCUGCUGUCCUGCUCCCUUCCACCCAUUUUGCUCAAAGUGGUUACCCACAGCUGGGUUUCACGUGUGACUAUGGCAUGUGUGACGAGGCAGGAAGCAAAAUGGUGCUCAUUUUAUAUGCCUUGAACCCAUGGCAGGGGCAUGAGACCGCUGAGCCUGCCAGCACCUGGGCUGCUUCAGAAAGCCUUCACUCACCUACUGAUGAACAUCAGCCUUGAGCCACAGUGGAGAUGGAGAUGGUUCCAUCGCCAGCCCCUCUGAUCAAAUGAGCCCAUAAGGAGCAGCAGGUGGAUUUGAAUUAUCUCACAACCUCUUCUUCUUCUGUUACACUGCUGCCACUCACCCAGCAAGGUUUGUGUGAAAGACUGUGGAGUAACCAAAAUAUUAACAGGACAUUCCAGUUAUUCUUGGCUGUCUAAGGCAGAGGUAACUGCACUUUUUGCAUCCAAUCAUUUUCCACUGGCACUUCCCAUAAUGAUUAUCACAGUGUCAGCAUCUGAGAUGUCAAUAUGGGGCCAAAGCUGAAGAGGGUGGCAUUUGACUACUCUCUACCACUUGGGAUAUAUGAUUUUCCCCAGCUUUGCAGAGUAGUUGCUCUAUGCUGAUUACGAAGCUAUUAGGUAUGCAAGGCAUAACUGUAGCAGAAGGGGAUUUCUGUGUGGGAGGAACAGUAUGAUUCAGAUUGUCUCAUCAGCCUUGUGAAACAAAAUGUCCAGUCAACAGAAUAUGCUUUUGCAAUGUAGCCACUCAUUUCUCUGCCUUUAUUUUGUACGCUUAGCCAUAACCCUGGUGCACCGGGACCUGGGACUCAGCCUAUGAAGCUACAGGAGGAUUGUUCAAGAACAGGGGAGUUUACGGAAGCACCAACAUGACCUAGUACUCUAAUAGUGUUUCCUCAUUGGGAGAGAUGUCCAGAGCAAGGUGGGGGAAGGAGGGAAUGAAAGCUCUCCUCGAGCACCUGAUUGCCACCUCUUGUAUCAGCUGGCAUGGGAAAGUGGUAACAGGAAUGCUCUCCCAGCUUUGGAGACUUGCCUGCUCACAACCAGCCCAGUAUCUGGAGCGCAGACACGUGGCUGAAUACUGCUCACAUAAGCACCUACUGCAUUGCACUUGUUGUUUAAAGGGGUUCACUAAUGCAGCUGGGGUAAGAAGUUGGCUGUUGCUGGAUGAUUAUUUUAGAGCAGCCUUCAGGAACAUACCACCCCACAUUUUCUGGUAUUGCAAAGGAGGAUGGUGAGGGUAGAGGAAAAGCACUGAUUUCAAUAACUUAGAAUAAGUUGAAGAUCUACCUGAGAGUGUUAAUCGCUAUCUUACAGGUAAAAGUACUUGGAACACUGCACUUAUGCAUGAAAAAUAAAAUUAUACCCUUUUCCUCCCCAGAAAAUUGAAAUUUAAGGUAAAACAAAAUAAUUCCUGAUGUUUUAAGGUAUGGAAGUUCACAGUGUAGGUAUCAGCGUGCCCUUUCCAAUGAUGCCCCUGAGAAAAAUCCAAGCCAUCCAUAACAGACAGUCCCACCUUAUCAGGGACCACAAAAAGCAGAAUGCCUUAGUCUCACCCACAUGGGGACUGGGCCAAAUCCAGCCGUCACUACGAGUAUAGAGCAAUUUGGUUUUAGCACAUUCCUGACAAGACAAAUGGCACACAUGAGGCAGAUGCUCUUCAGCCUUUUUCUUAAAGGCUGGCUCAGAAAGCCAGAAGUCUGUGUUGUGCCAGCCUUGUAUCUCAGUAUCAUUAAGCACAGAACUAGUAUGAGUCUUUUCAUACUUUCCUAGGCUUCACACAUUAUUUUCACAUCUGUUAGUAACAUUAAAAUUACACUAUUGUAGAUAAGUUUUUGUGAAGCCAGCUAAAAGGCUGUUGCAUGUUGUAUUUUCAGUACUUUAGCCACCUUCAAGAAAGGAGGGGGGAAGAGGGCAGGCUGCAACUUGCUUUCUUAAUAACAUGCAAACCUUUAAAGCUCAGGUAACAGUAAGUGUUUUGGCUCCAAGCUCCAGCUAUGAAGCAAAUAGGCCAAAGACUCUCCCUAGAACUGUACUGGCAAACUCCAAUAACAUCUGAAGUGCAGUGAUGAGGGGCAUCUGUCCCAGAAGAACCUGCUGGCUCUAAGACACCAAAAAUAAUGCUUUUUAAAUAACGAAUUUUAAGAUCGCCUUUCUCAAAACCAAUGUCAUCAGCAGGCAUCACCUCACCUCCUUCUGGAAGUGUCUUGGACCUGAGACUUACCCCAUUCCCUCUGUUACAGCAUACAGAUCGUACUUGAUGGUGGCUUUUGUGCUGUCCUCUCACGCAGACUGGCUCUGGGUGAAAGCCUGGCUCUAGGAUGAGCUGGGCCUUUGGCAAGUCUUCUGCCAACCCCUGCAGCCCUAGGGAGUGCUUUGUGGAUGACUGGACUGACCAGUUCUGGGGUCUGACCCAGUACGGUAUGAGAAAGCUCUUGUAAUGUCUUAGCAAAGGGACUGAACUCUUGCAAAAGACCACGAAAAUCAUAAUGCCCAAGGAAACAUAAGAACAUAUGAUACAUAAUAAACCCAAAAAAAACGUGUGAAGGUGUCAAGAGUUUUUCUACUGAGUUUCAUAAGGGAGUGCAACUAGGCCUUAUAUAGUCCUUGGCCAUGCUGCAAGUGGUUUAAUGGGGCAAUGUCCAGUAAAUAGAGAAAUUAAAUUAUGCCAGCAUGAAGGGGCUAUCCUCUUCCGAGCCUCUAAACUCUCCUCCGAAUAGCAGCGCUUCCUUUUUCCAGAUCUAGACAACACAAUGGUUCUGGUUCUUCCUAGAAAUGAAAAGGUCCAUUCUUCCUCGCCUUCCUCUUUCAGUGAAAACGUAUAUGAUGAGAAACCACACGCACACACACGUGGGUUGGCAUGAGCCCUAGUGUGGGCACAGAUGGCAUACCUGAAUGAAUGGACACACAGAGCUCUCUGUGUGGGUAAGAAUGUUUACCAUGUGUGGUGCUGGGAAGCACACACAUGAUUCCAGCUAAAACCCACAAGAUUGGCUGUAAGAUGAAAUGUAAAGAUCCCUUCUUAUAUGUCAGAGCCUUAAAGCUUUGUGCCACUGGGAUGGAGUCAGCUGGAGUUCAAAGAUGAGGCAGGCUGCAGGUAGGAAAUUAUUUCUAAAUCAAUUUGUGCAGUGGAUUGCCGCAAAUAUGAGUACUAUGCCUGCAGCAGACAAGGCCAUCAGACCUCAGUGAGUCUUUUUUUAUUUCAUUUUCCUAAUUAAUGCUUAUUUUACAGAGUGGUAGACAAAUCGUCAGCUUGCUGUAGUUGGGCAUGAGCCCCAUGUCCCUGUUUUGCUUGAGGCAAAAAUGUCUUCACUGCCAUUUCAGGUAGGCAGAUUCAGCCCUGGAGGUAUUUGGUGCCUUACGUCAAACUACAUACUGGCCACAGGGUUCAACAUGUUUUCUGUAGAAUCAGUUUCAGCAGAGCUCUGUUGUCUCAGUGCUGUCUGUUGCAGAAAUCACACAAAGAAGCUUGUGGGUCACUUCCCCGACGUUGAGAAUUAAAUGCAUGCCAGGUUAGGUGAGCUGCAUAUGAAAAGGAAAAUAAGGGCAUAUAGGGCAAAAGGAUAACAGAUUCUUAAACUUACCUCAUUGUUAAUAUUCUGCAGUUGUUUCAGGAGAAGUCAACAUAAGCUUUGCCACUGAUAUGAGUGAAACAUUAUUUUAGAACAUUUGUUUGAGAAAAAAAUGUGGUUUUGAAGACAUUAUCUGAAGAAAUUCAUUUAACAUCAGCAGAAUUACAUAAUAUUUUGUUUCGUGUGUGUUCCUUUCUCCUAUACUAUUCCCACUCAGGGACAAUAUAUUUUUGAUGGGCAAGUAGUCAUUCUUUCCACUUUUUCAUUAUCUGCAGUCCUCUUUAAGAUCUCCUAUUCUAUAUUUUUCAUCGGAUUACUAUCAUGGUAAUUUCUAGCUCAAGUAAAAUAAAAAAAUUUCCUCUCUUUUCUUUCCUUCUGGUCUUUAAGGCAUUCUAGAAAGCCCAGGUGCCCUGGUGGCUAGCUCCUUGCUCUUUCUCCCAAAAGGCCUUUCUUCAUUUAUUUGUUCUUAGUUUUGCCCAAGGAUUCUUCGCCUGCACUCCUGUGUGUAUAAGUUAAUAAUUCUUGGUUCUUCCCCAUCAUUUUGUCCCCUCUGCACCUGUGAUUUACACAAAGUUGGAAGGCUGCAGAUGGAGAUGAGAUCCUCCCCAACUUCCCCUUUGCCAGGCUUUGCUGCCUUUGAGGAUGUCACUGAUCUUUGAUGUGGGGAUGGGCUCUUGGAGUAAGGCUGAGAGGGAUGUUCUACAAACUUGACCUGGUCAGGAAAAUACAAUUCCCUCCAAGAAGUUUCUUUUUACAAGACUGUAAGCGUAGUUUUUGUCCAGGUUUCUUGCAGCUGGAUGGUUCAUGCACACUUAUAAAUUGUUGGUUAUAUAUAAAACCUUACUUUUUCUGAAGCUUGGGUGACAUUUAAUGUUUAACUCCCUUCCUGAACUCCUUAGCGGGAAAAGAAAAAAAACCCAACAACCCACAAAUCCAUGCCAGUUUUGGCACCUUUGCCCUUAUGAUUGACACCUUCCCUCCACUGCUGGGUUAAGACUGCUGCAAGUGGGAAUUCCUUCUUCUGAAUUAAUUAACUCUGUAUUGUUACUGCCUUUGAUCUACUGCCAUAGGAACAAGCGCUGUAAAACCUCUAUUUGUGUGCCUUUCUUACACAAAUAGCUCUGGACAGAAUAUUAAAGGAAUCAUUUAGAAGAUGGUGGGCAGAAAUACCCCCUCCCCAAAGUUGCCCUUGAGACUGCCGCUUAGUGUGGAAACUGCAUGGGAACAGUUACAGACCUCUAGUGGCUCUGUUUAUAUAACUCAUCUAGCUUCCUAACUGCUCACCAGCACAGUAUUUUGGAAAGCUGUAUAGAGAUUUCCCAUAUGGAUUACAAUACGGUGACAUUUCGUCGUCUCUGCAUUUCCCAUCCUGUUGUCUGUUCUAUUUUCUUCACCAUAACAUCUGUCCCACGUCGCUGAGAGAUUUCACUAUUGGAAGUCUGCUAUAAAUUAUGACAGGGAGUUAAAGGACUUCAGUGUUUGCUUUCUGCUUUUUUUUUUUUUUUUUUGAGGGACAUUGGGUUAGCCACCUCUUUAAAAUAAGCCUUCUUUUUUUAUUCUAUUUAUAUACUGAUGUUUUUAAAAGCUGUCUUUAGAAACUGAAAAAAAAGAAAAGAGUAUUCCUGUCCUUCCUGCUUGCACCCUUUCCCACUUAUCUUCCAUUGAAUUCCUAGAGAAACACAAACUUCUGGAAGUGCUUGCAGAAAAUAAAUCUUUAGCAAGCUCUGUCCCUAAUGGCCCGUGGGGUCUCCAGAUAAAAAGCAGUUGCUCACGUUCCUGUUCCCCGGUGUCUGAUGGAGACUGCAGCAGCUUUAGCACUCCUAGUGCCAGCCUGCAUCGCUGGUGCCAAGGCUGUGGGUUGGACUGGCCGCUGGUUCCCACCAAAAUGGAAGCAAGUAGUCUUGAAUCAUACAGAGUAGAAGGGCCAGCUCUGCUUGGCUUUACAGGAGGCUGCGAUUAGCAUGCGAUCCUAGGAACAGUCAGAGCGACAGAUUUUCAGCAGGACAGACUGAUCAACGCUUUUAAGUUGAGUGUCACGUAUCAUCACCAUGUAAGGACCAGAGACACUUAAAUGUGAGAUAAAACACACAGGACUAUAUUCUCAUAAUCCAAGGAAGUCUCAGUCUUUGGUGACUUUACAUGCCACUGCAACCUUUUUCCUCCGAACCAGAAAGCAGCACAUAUAGCUCCUGCAGGACUGCUUUUGGCUCUCACUCACAAACGAGAGCAUUACAAACCACAAACGUGGAGCACUUGCAAUGCUUCACAAUGUCAGCCUUGCUUCCUCCAGCAGCCAGGAGAGAAUCAGAGAUUUAUAUGGCUGGAAGGGAUCUCAGAAGAUCACUUAGUCCAGACUCAUGUCCCAAGGCAGGGUUGUUAUACUUACGUCACUCUUGGCAAAUGCUUGUCUAACCUCUUCCUAAAUGCAGGAUGGCGAUUCCACACCCUCCUCAGAUACUUCUGUGUGUCAGUAUCCCUACUGCUUGCCGCCUUCUAACAUACAACCUCACUCUCCUUUUCUGUAAUUUAAGCUCAUUACUUGUCCCAUCCAUCAUGGGUAGGGAGAACAAUUUAUUCCCCUUUCCUUCCCAGCCACCUUUCACAUAUUUGACAGCGGUAACCUUAUCUUCCCCAGCCUUCUCUAGACUACAGAAAGUCAGUCUGUUCAUUCUUCCCUCCUAGCUCUGAUUUUCAAGACCUCUGAUUAUCCCCCAGCUGUCCUCUGGACAUAGCAUAGCUUAGCAUAGCAUAGCACAGCACCCAUGGCUGGACGUCAUGCUCCAACUGCAGCUUCACAGAGAACUCGGCAGAAGGAUUUUUUUGUAGGGUACGUGCCUAUGCACACAUCCUAGUAGGGCAUUUGCCCUUUUUGCAUUAGCAUUAACUCAUAUUUGGAUUGCGACCUGGAACAUUUCUCAGAUCUUUUUACAUAUGCUUGUUACUUGGGCAAAAAUUCACCACCCUAUAUAAAGAGAAUUAAUUAUUCCUGGGGAUGCCCAUGUAUAGAAACUGAGAACUGUCCUUACUGAAAUUAAUCCUGGUUUUAAGACCAUUUGUCUAAACAUUUUUUAACUGUAGCUUUAUAUUUCAGUAUACCCAUAGUCCCCUUCCAGCUUUGUGGUAGCCAAGAAUAUGAUAUUCUCUAUUCCAUUGUCCAAGCUGUUCAUAAUCCCCUGAAAUCAGACUGACCCAGUAUAGAUGCCCAAGCAGCUCUUCCUGAUCUACCUUUCCCCUUUUAAAAGUACAGCUAACUAGUCGCUCUGUGCAGUUUUCCAAUCAAUAUUACAUCAUCUUAGACCAGCUCCAUCUUCCACAGGUUCCCUUAAUUUGCUUAGAAGUAUCAUGUUACAUGGUGACGAAAUCCUCACCACUGUCAAAAUAUAGGACUACUAUUGCUGCUCCCUUAUCAACGAGUGUUUUUUACUCUGUCAUGAAAGGAAAUUUGACCCAUUUUACACAAUUUGUUUUUGGCAAAUUUAUGUUGGCCAUUAUUCAUCUCUUUGUUUUGUUUUAGGUGCUUACCAAAGUUUGAUUGUUUGUUCCAGUAUUUUUCCGGGAAUUGAAGUUAAACUGAACAAUAUGUAAUCCCUGCCUCCUCCUUUUAUUCCCUUUUAAAGACAGGAACUACGUCUGCACUUUUCUAGGCUUCCAAGUAACCAUCUCUGGGCUCUGUAACGUCCCAGACGCUAGGCGGGAUUACACCUAGAGCUUUCGCAGUUAAAUAACCAGCUGGAGCAAUUACCCUAAGAUGAAAUACAUCUGGCCCAACCGACUUGAACACUAUCUGAAGGAUCUUCUGACCUAGUCUUUGUUCUAGUUUUGUGAUCUCACCUGCCUCUGUCAUUGACAUUGACUGCAAUAUUUGUCUGAAGCGAUAACAAAUGCAAGAAAGGCACGAAACGCCCUGGGACUCUAGCCAUGAACUGUCCAUAGCUUGCUUCCCCACUGGAAAGCACGUUUUCAGUUGCCUGGGUCUUCCUCUUGCUGCUAAAAUAGUGAUGAAAAAACUACUUUACACUUUAAAAUCCCUUGCUAAUUGGACCCCAUUUCGCUGCCUGACCUUUGUGAUUUUGUCCUCACAUACCUAGCCCAGCUUCUGCAGGCUUUUUUCCCUUUGGCUGAGAUCAAAGAAAAGCUGACUAUUUCUUCAAGUUCAUCUACUGGUACUGUCUGGUUUUUGGAUAGCUGAUGCAUGUUGCUGUUCACUCCAAGGUGCUUUCCACAUCAUUAAAACUUCUCACUUGCCCAAGGUCCAAAAUGACAUGCCUUUAAUUACUAAGUGGCUUCAAUGGAAUCACUGCUCAUUUAUCUUGGUCUAGGAAAGAUCAGAAGCCUGACCUUUUUUUCCAUCUCUUACUGACUGCUAAGCUCCACCUGGGAACAUUCAGUCUUUGCUGGUCAGUUUUUGUUUAACCUCCUGUCCUUACUAAAAGUGAUGGGUGCAAAUCACAAAAUCUUCUCAUCUGGAUCUGAAUUUUACAUGGUCUUAAAUGCUAGAAAUGCUAGAAAUGUUUACAGCCAGAAGUAUUCUUCAAGUUCAUCUCAACUGCUUGUCAGAAAAACAUCUUUUUCUCAUUUGGGUACUUUUUUGUGCUGGCUUCCCGCUCAGCUGGCCUGCCAAGCUUGAAGUCAGAACAGACAAGGCUGACAGAGUGGGGAACAUAUUUUCGUUUUUAUACACAUGAAAAACUCAAAAUUCACUAGUAACGUAAUCACGCUGAACUCCUUCCUGCACAGAAACUCUAGCUUACCUUUUGCUGUCACAUAUUCUUCUUAUCAGUGAAGAUACUCAAAAGCUCGCAGCUUGAGGAAGCCGAGGCUGUAACAGCAAUACUGUAAAUACAGCAGUGUUACACUGCUAUAAUGGUGCUCUUUCAACAGAGCAGCAUAAGCAGCCAAAAGGGGAAGGAGGCCAGACAGCCUUUCUGUUGCCCAAGAGGAAGCAAAUUUCAGAUAGUGCUUCGGUUCCCUUUAGUUAUGAUUCACCAUAAAUGAACAGCUAAAACAUCAGUUGAUAGUAAGGCCAUGCAAGCAGGGACUUCCAGAAGUGGAGACUCAAAGGAAAAAGCAGAGAAAGCUGGCCCCUUGCCUAGCUGUGAGUCGCCUUCCUUCCCAUCCUUCUGCUUUUGUUUUUAGGGUUCCUGUGCAUUUUGCAGUGUCAGCCAGUUGUCCGAGAAGAGAAGACUGCCUUGCAUGGGUUUUAGUUAAGCCUGAGACCCCAGGCACCUCCUAGACCCUACACUGGGACAUGUUCACUACUGCUAACUGCUGUUAAACCAAAGCAGUGAUCUAGACCAUAAAGCAAAUAACAGCAUACCCUGCUGAUAAACUGUGGUAUAUGGAAACUUGCACAAUAUUUAUGCAUUGUUAAGGCUAACACUAGAAGGAGUAAACCAUAACGGCUGUGCUGGCCUUCUCUAACAGAGUUACCCAAACUUAGCACGACAAUUUUCCAUGGUAGAAAAAUUCUCUCUCCUUCUCAGCCUGGGCAAAUUGUGCCAAUAGCACAGUAGCCCCUUGUUCAGCCUUUUCAGAGGGAAACCCUCAGCAAAGAAAGGAUUGUCUUACAAUAGCCUGCAGAAGGAUGGGCUGAUACCUGGAAGAGAUUAAACCAGUAAAGCUGUACUCAGGCUGAGCUGCCGUGUGGAAAAUCCGUCUCUCUCUCUGUGCAGCAAGGGUCCCUGUGUGUUCCUAUAGCUGGAGGGGAGGGGAAACUACUAGAAGUAGGAGGAGAGAUUAAUAAAAACUCAUUUAAAGGCUGACCUUUUCUUUGGAAAUAGCUACCUUUAUCCCUUGCACUAGAACUGAGCAGUCCAUGUGCCUCACCUGCACAGCAAGAGAGGAAUUCUUGGCCAGAGAGAGGUGUUAAGGUGGGGAAAAGGACCUCCAGGCAAGGGAGGUUAAUAUCAUUAUUUACACUAAUGGAUUGCUUUAUAAAAAGGACUAUGAGGUGACUUUCAAAAAAACCAGCCUCCUUUAGGGCCCAUGGAAGAAAAGAUCAUGUGAAACCAGCAAGAAUCUGUGGAAAUUUUCCACAUAAGUCUGGCAGAGUUUUGCAGAGAAAAUGUGCCAUUUGCCACCGCUGCCCCCUCCCCAGCGCCCAGAGCUGUGCUGGCCAGCAGGACUGCAGUCACGCCACCCACUUCUGUCCCCAUGAGAAGAGAAGCCUCACACCAAAGUGCGUGCUCACCUCAUGACUCUUGUGAGCAAGAGGAUGUGUGGGGCAGGUGCUCGCUUCCGUUUUGUGAUCCAUCAUUCAUGCGACUCUCAAAACACAGCUCUGAUAAGUAAUCUGGCUAAUUUUCAGAUUAAAGGAAAGAAUGCACUGUCAAUCACCGCACUCUGCCACUGUCCUUGUUGCCAGCGGGGAAUUAAGCCCUACCCUGUUUCUUCUGCUGAACACAGACCUUCUGAGAAGCUUCCCUGUCAGCCUGCAGCCUCUUGCAUUCUCUAGCUCUUCAAGAUACCUGCACUCACUGGGACAUGCUGUGGUGGGAUACCUCUUCUCCUGAGGCAGCAAACUCUGGCCGCAGUCGGAGGAAAGGCACUUGCCAGAGAUCCCAAGGAAAGAACUGUGUGAGGUUUUGCUAGGCAGCGCUUUGUUUCGAUGCAUGAAUCUUUUUUAAUUAUAUGCUCGCUUUGGUUUUGCAAAGGCUGGUGCAGAUCAAAUAAAGUAAGCAAUACUGUUUCCAAGGCAA